GUCAAAGAUUACUAUCUGUUGUGUUUCUCUUAUGCUUGUCUAUGAUGUGUGUAAAGGGGUGUGCGAGAGUGAGUUGCCUCUCUCCUUCCACCCCUUCAGCUCAUUUCAACAGAGUAUGAAACACACACUGACGUGUGUGCAGAUUUUGCCAUGGAUCCUUCCGCAGGUUCACCUACGGAAA
rnacentral:misc_RNA from 1 species